GGUGAUGUCUUCUGCCUGAGGGCUCCAGUUGCUGAGUGCAGAAUUCCAGCUCAGGCUACCUCGCUCCACCCCUCUCCCUAGGAGCUGUGUCUGCCAUGCACACAAUGCAGAAUUUUGGCACCGUCAAAGACAAGGAGACCUCAGAGGCGAAGACCAAGCCUCCAGAUGAUAGAGCCCUGACUUCACGGAAUCCAAGUCCUACCCCAACCAGACUGUCCAAGAAGAAGGGAAGAAUGCCGAUCCGACCUCCACCAGCCUGGAGCAGGAUGUGAAACCAGGCACGGGAAGCCGCUCGCCCAAGGACGCUCCGCGUGGCCGAGUCCGGCGCCAGCCCGCUGCCCGGUGGUGUUGGCCUUCUCUGCUUCUCCGGUUUCCUCCUGCCUCUGAGCCCUUCUGCCUGCCCGCCUCUCACCUCCUUCGGGACACCUUCUGCUCUGCUCUGCCUCACAGACUCUCUUGUUCUGGAGACUCGGCUCUGCUGUCAUCUUCUCUUUCAAGCCUCUUGUAGAGUUCCCCAAAAUGUGCCCACAGGUGUCCUGUGUGCUCCUGGGCAUGUGCCGCCUCCUC